GGCUCCGUAGCUUAAUUGGAUAGAGCAUCUGACUACGGAUCAGAAGGUUUCAAGUUCGAGUCUUGACGGAGUCA
rnacentral:tRNA from 1 species